AACGAACGCUGGCGGCAGGCUUAACACAUGCAAGUCGAACGCCCUCUUCGGAGGGAGUGGCAGACGGGUGAGUAACGCGUGGGAACCUACCUAUCAGUACGGAAUAACUCAGGGAAACUUGUGCUAAUACCGUAUACGUCCUUAGGGAGAAAGAUUUAUCGCUGAUAGAUGGGCCCGCGUUGGAUUAGCUAGUUGGUGGGGUAAUGGCCCACCAAGGCGACGAUCCAUAGCUGGUCUGAGAGGAUGAUCAGCCACACUGGGACUGAGACACGGCCCAGACUCCUACGGGAGGCAGCAGUGGGGAAUAUUGGACAAUGGGCGAAAGCCUGAUCCAGCCAUGCCGCGUGAGUGAAGAAGGCCUUAGGGUUGUAAAGCUCUUUCAGUGGGGAAGAUAAUGACGGUACCCACAGAAGAAGCUCCGGCUAACUUCG
rnacentral:rRNA from 2 species